rnacentral:snoRNA from 1 species
AUGAUUAUACUCUUUAGGAUCAUUUUUAUAGUGACCUAACCGAGUCCACACAUUCACAUGUGCCACACCUUUAACUUCAUUCGAUGACAUUGUUCACGCCGCCCUCACACCGAGAACCUCUGCUGCUUCACGCAGCUCGAUGACGUGCGCGUAUGAGCGAAACCGGCCGCUUGCGGCUGUGUUUUGCGAGUGCGCGGGGCGGUUGUGACUUUUCUGAUGAAGU